CCUGAUCCUGCACAAGCUCGGAUGAUCAGUAAUAGAUGCUGCCGGGUGCGCCGCCGCCAGCCGCAAUCGCAUCGCCGUUGAUCGCGAUCGACUUCGGCGACGCCAGAAACGNAACGAUGUGGCCGAUCUCCUCGGCGGUCACGAGACGGCGGAUCGUAUUGAGAUCGUUCAUCGCCUUCUCGACUUCGGCUUCCGUCUUCUUUGUGAGCCCUGCACGCCAUGCGAUCACGCCGGGCGUCUUCUCGGUCCGGGUCAGGCCCGGAUGAACGCAGGUCACGUUGAUGCCGCGCGGUCCC
rnacentral:misc_RNA from 1 species